ensembl:misc_RNA Metazoa_SRP Metazoan signal recognition particle RNA
GCCGGGCACAGUGGCUCAUGCCUGUAAUCCCAGCACUUUGGGAGGCUGAGGCGGGUGGAUCACCUGAGGUCAGGAGUUCAAGACCAGCCUGGCCAACAUGGUGAAACCCCGUCUCUA